GUCAGGUUUUUUGACAGUUUUCAGUGGUUAUGAGGAGUAAUAUGUGAGAGAGAAAUUUGGUAAUCAUUGAUCAUUGUUUAGGUAUGUUAAACCACAUUUAGCCUUCUCAAGUUA